AACGAACGCUGGCGGCAGGCUUAACACAUGCAAGUCGAGCGCCCCGCAAGGGGAGCGGCAGACGGGUGAGUAACGCGUGGGAACGUACCCUUUGCUACGGAAUAGCUCCGGGAAACUGGAAUUAAUACCGUAUGUGCCCUACGGGGGAAAGAUUUAUCGGCAAAGGAUCGGCCCGCGUUGGAUUUGCUAGCUGGUGGGGUAAUGGCCUACCAAGGCGACGAUCCAUAGCUGGUCUGAGAGGAUGAUCAGCCACAUUGGGACUGAGACACGGCCCAAACUCCUACGGGAGGCAGCAGUGGGGAAUAUUGGACAAUGGGCGCAAGCCUGAUCCAGCCAUGCCGCGUGAGUGAUGAAGGCCUUAGGGUUGUAAAGCUCUUUCACCGGAGAAGAUAGUGACGGUAUCCGGAGAAGAAGCCCCGGCUAACUUCGUGCCAGCCGCCGCCGUAACAC
rnacentral:rRNA from 1 species